GGGCGCUUAGCACAGUGGUAGGGCGCACGCUUUGCAUUCGCUUAUACGACGAAUACAUAUUCUGCGUGAGGUCGAGGGUUCAAUCCCCUCAGCGUCCA